rnacentral:ribozyme from 1 species
GUCAUAACUCCGCCUGUGUAGCAAUAUGUAUAACCAUGUGUACACAGCCGGUCCCAAGCCCGGAUGAAGGAGGAGGGUGAC